UUUAAUUGGUGCUGGAAAUAAUAAACAAAAUUGACCGGAUACAGUAAUUGUUAUAUAACAGGAAAUCGUCGGCUUAAUAUACAAAUGGCUGUUCGCCGUCCCCCCAAAAUUGUAUUUAUAAACUAGUCAAAAGUGUUAUAAUUGGAGGGGUGAGAUGUAGAGAGAUUAUUAACUUUGGUUUUUCACAUUUAAUGAGAAAACUCCUG